rnacentral:rRNA from 1 species
UACGGAGGGGGCUAGCGUUGUUCGGAAUUACUGGGCGUAAAGCGCACGUAGGCGGCUUUGUAAGUUAGAGGUGAAAGCCCGGGGCUCAACUCCGGAAUUGCCUUUAAGACUGCAUCGCUAGAAUUGUGGAGAGGUAAGUGGAAUUCCGAGUGUAGAGGUGAAAUUCGUAGAUAUUCGGAAGAACACCAGUGGCGAAGGCGGCUUACUGGACACAAAUUGACGCUGAGGUGCGAAAGCGUGGGGAGCAAACAGG